GCCUAAAGCGUCCGUAGCCUGUUCUAUAAGUUUCCGGUUAAAUCCAUUAGCUCAACUAAUGGGCCGCCGAAAAUACUGUAGAACUAGGGAGUGGGAGAGGUAGACGGUAUUCGGUAGGAAGGGGUAAAAUCCUUUGAUCUAUUGAGGACCACCUGUGGCGAAGGCGGUCUACCAGAACACGUUCGACGGUGAGGGAUGAAAGCUGGGGGAGCAAACCGGAUUAGAUACCCGGGUAGUCCCAGCUGUAAACGAUGCAGACUCGGUGAUGCCCUGGCUUGUGGCCAGUGCAGUGCCGCAGGGAAGCCGUUAAGUUUGCCGCCUGGGAAGUACGUACGCAAGUAUGAAACUUAAAGGAAUUGGCGGGGGAGCACCACAAGGGGUGAAGCCUGCGGUUCAAUUGGAGUCAACGCCAGAAAUCUUACCCGAAGAGACAGCAGAAUGAAGGUCAAGCUGGAGACUUUACCAGACAAGCUGAGAAGUGGUGCAUGGCCGUCGCCAGCUCGUGCCGUGAGAUGUCCUGUUAAGUCAGGUAACGAGCGAGAUCCCUGCCUCUAGUUGCCACCAUUACUCUCAGGAGUAGUGGGGCGAAUUAGCGGGACCGCCGCAGUUAAUGCGGAGGAAGGAAGGGGCCACGGCAGGUCAGUAUGCCCCGAA
rnacentral:rRNA from 1 species